GAAGACUUCAGAGAUAUCCACCAGAGAAAGGUGACCCUAUCACAGCUCAGGGGCGUUCUGGAGUCCAAAGUUCAACCCCGGCGCCAAUCUGUAAGGAGUCCCUGUGGAACAGAAAAUGGGAAGUCAAUUGACUGUGCUUGGUGGAAAAAUG